GAUGAAGAACGCAGUGAAAUGCGAUACUUGGUGUGAAUUGCAGAAUCCCGUGAACCAUCGAGUCUUUGAACGCAAGUUGCGCCCGAAGCCACUAGGCCGAGGGCACGCCUGCCUGGGCGUCACACGUCGUUGCCCCCCCCCCAUCUACUCCUUCGGGAUUGCGGGGGGCGGAUGAUGGCCUCCCGUGCGCCUAGCCGCGCGGUUGGCAUAAAUACCAAGUCCUCGGCGACGCACGCCACGACAAUCGGUGGUUGCGAAACCUCGGUUGCCCGUCGUGUGCGUUCGUCGCGCAUCGAGGGCUCGAAAAAAUGCUCGGCUCCGGCUCGGCUUUCAACGCGACCCCAGGUCAGGCGGGGUUACCCGCUGAAUUUAAGCAUAUCAAUAAGCGGAGGA
rnacentral:misc_RNA from 1 species